rnacentral:rRNA from 1 species
UACGUAGGUGGCGAGCGUUGUCCGGAAUUACUGGGUGUAAAGGGCGUGUAGGCGGGGCGGCAACUCAGAUGGGAAAUUCCGGGGCUUAACCCCGGCGCUGCAUCUGAAACUGUCGUUCUUGAGUGUCGGAGAGGAAAGUGGAAUUCCCAGUGUAGCGGUGAAAUGCGUAGAGAUUGGGAGGAACACCAGUGGCGAAGGCGGCUAUCUGGACGAUAACUGACGCUGAGUCGCGAAAGCGUGGCGAGCAAACAGG